rnacentral:rRNA from 1 species
GUGUCAGCAGCCGCGGUAAUACAGAGGGGGCGAGCGUUGUUCGGAAUUACUGGGCGUAAAGGGCGCGUAGGCGGCCCGUUAAGUCGAACGUGAAAUCCCCGGGCUCAACCCGGGAACUGCGUCCGAGACUGGCGGGCUCGAAUUCGGGAGAGGGAUGUGGAAUUCCAGGUGUAGCGGUGAAAUGCGUAGAUAUCUGGAGGAACAUCGGUGGCGAAGGCGGCAUCCUGGACCGAUAUUGACGCUGAGGCGCGAAAGCCAGGGGAGCAAACGGGAUUAGAUACCCCGGUAGUCCUGGCCCUAAACGAUGAAUGCUUGGUGUGGCGGGUAUCGAUCCCCGCCGUGCCGAAGCUAACGCAUUAAGCAUUCCGCCUGGGGAGUACGGUCGCAAGGCUGAA